AUUGAACGCUGGCGGCAGGCCUAACACAUGCAAGUCGAACGGAGUGGCGGACGGGUGAGUAAUGUCUGGGAAACUGCCUGAUGGAGGGGGAUAACUACUGGAAACGGUAGCUAAUAACGCAUACUCUCAGAUGAGCCUAGGUCGGAUUAGCUAGUUGGUGGGGUAAAGGCCUACCAAGGCGACGAUCCGGAACUGGUCUGAGAGGAGGAUCAGUCACACGGGAACUGAGACACGGUCCAUACUCCUACGGGAGGCAGCAGUGGGGAAUAUUGGACAACGGGCGAAAGCCUGAUCCAGCCAUGCCGCGUGUGUGAAGAAGGUCUUCGGAUUGUAAAGCACUUUAAGUUGGGAGGCGUUACCAACAGAAUAAGCACCGGCUAACUCCGUGCCAGCAGCCGCGGUAAUAC
rnacentral:rRNA from 1 species